UUGAAUCCAGAGUGACGGUCAACGUUUAGCUUUAGGUACUAAACGAAAACGGCAAACAUUUCGGUGUUUUAUUGAUACUAAAGCCACUCAAAAACGAGCUAUGGGGAUGAAAUGAAGCUAACAGUCAUGAUGUAUUUAAGAUGGAGAAUGAGCCCAUAUCUGAUUCAUGAUGACCUGCUUUAUUGACACAGACAACAGCAACAGACUCUGCACUCCUGUACCCCAUCCAUCCAUCCAUCC